CAGUAGCCACGGGAAUACGUAGGGUGCGAGCGUUAAUCGGAAUUACUGGGCGUAAAGCGUGCGCAGGCGGUUUGUUAAGACAGAUGUGAAAUCCCCGGGCUCAACCUGGGAACUGCAUUUGUGACUGGCAGGCUAGAGUAUGGCAGAGGGGGGUGGAAUUCCGCGUGUAGCAGUGAAAUGCGUAGAUAUGCGGAGGAACACCGAUGGCGAAGGCAGCCCCCUGGGCCAACACUGACGCUCAUGCACGAAAGCGUGGGGAGCAAACAGGAUUAGAUACCCGGGUAGUCCCUGUCUCUUAUAA
rnacentral:rRNA from 1 species